UCUGCUCCUCCCUUGGACUAAACUCUCGCUUUCUAAACCCUUCCCCUUCGGAAAGCGCCCGCCUGGGGCUCCCCUCCCUUUGGCUGGAGCUGGUGGAUUGGCGUGGUGUGUGUCUCUCUGUGUGUGUAAACGCGGAUCGCUUCGCCUCCUCCUCCUUUCUCCUGCUCUCUCUCUCUCUCUCUCUUUCUGGCAGCCGCCAUAACUGCGGGGGCAACCCAAACUUGCUCCAGCCUGGCACAGCCAACUCCUUUUCCUCCCACCUUCUUUCCUUACCACGCGGAUUCCUGGCAGAGAGAGGAAAAGGAGCCGCAAAAUAAAGAAGUUGCGGAGGAGCAGCAGCAGCAGAUACACAUUAAGCCUCAUAAAAAGUCAUCUGAUCUUCACGCACUGAAGAUUUCUGGACUACCUUUGUUGAAUUUCGUUGCUAUACUGUAGAGAAGAUUGAAACAUAGUUCUUCAUUCCUGGGAGAGGAAUUGAAAAGUUCCAAAUGUUGGCAGCUUUGUGUACGAGUGCAACUCAUCAGAGGCAUGUGCUUUAAAAGCAGAAUUGUUGGUGAAGCACCUUCUGGAAUUCUUUUCUAUUCACCAUUGUAGCAAAUGUAUGUUCAUUUCUAGAAGUGAUCCAUCAGAUAAAAGACAUUUGGAAACUACAUCGUAUUACUUUAAUGCGAUGUCUCUGUUUUCAUAAACUCUCUGUGCUCAACUCCCUACCCGGUUCUACUGCCCAAUGAAUUUUUGCUGCUGGACUUCCCAACUAUUUCUGUAGAACAAAAACUCAUAACAUGGCCCUCGUUGUAUAUGGAGCAGUGGGUAUAUUUUUUGGAAUGGCAUCAGCACUUGGUCCAGUGCCUCGGAUCAACUGGGGACACAAAGAAGUUCAUCUAAUACAUUUUCAAGAAUCAGAAACUUUUAACUAUUCAACCUUGUUGCUAAAUGAAUACAAAGAUAUUUUGUACGUAGGGGCUAGAGAAGUUAUAUUUGCUCUGAAUUCAUUGAAUAUUUCUGAAAAAAAGCAAGAGGUAUUUUGGAAGGUCACAGAAAACCAGAAAACUAGAUGUGCAGAAAAGGGCAAAUCCAAGCAGACAGAGUGCCUUAACUAUAUCCGUGUCUUACAACAACUGAGUGAUACUUCGCUUUAUAUAUGUGGAACUAAUGCAUUUCAGCCAGUCUGUGAUCAUCUGAAUUCGACAUCAUUCAAACUUGUGGGCAGAAAUGAUGAUGGCAAAGGAAGAUGCCCAUUUGAUCCUGCACAAAGUUAUACAUCAGUAAUGGUUGAUGGGGAUCUUUACUCUGGAACAUCUUACAAUUUCUUGGGAAGUGAACCAAUCAUAUCUAGGAAUUCACUGCAGAAUCCUCUACGGACGGAAUAUGCAAUUCCUUGGCUUAAUGAACCACAUUUCGUUUUUUCUGAUGUUAUAAGAGCUGAUCCAAACAGUUCUGGUGAGGAGGAUGACAAAGUGUAUUUCUUUUUCACUGAGGUCUCAGUGGAAUAUGAAUUUCUUGGCAAGUUGAUGAUUCCAAGGAUAGCAAGAGUUUGUAAGGGGGACCAAGGAGGACACAGAACUUUGCAAAAGAAAUGGACUUCAUAUCUCAAGGCGAGAUUGCUUUGUUCUAUGCCAGAUAAAAACUUAUUUUUCAACAUUGUCAAUGAUGUCUUUAUCCUUAAGACUCCCAACUUGAAGGAGCCAGUGAUUUAUGGAGUUUUCACUCCACAAUUGAACAAUGUGGGUCUUUCAGCAGUGUGUGCCUAUAACAUCUCUACAGUGGAGGAUGUUUUCACCAAAGGGAAGUACAUGCAGAGUACCACAGUUGAACAGUCCCACACAAAAUGGCUACGAUAUAAUGGAGAAAUUCCAAAACCAAGACCUGGUGCAUGUAUAAACAAAGAGGCCAGAGAUGAAAAAAUCAAUACAACACUCAACUUACCUGACAAAACAUUACAGUUUGUGAAAGACCAUCCUCUGAUGGAUGACUCUGUAAUUCCAAUAGGAGACAAACCAAAACUGGUAAAGAGAGAUGUGAAGUAUACACAGAUUGUGGUAGACCAAGUCCGAGCGCUGAAUGGCACUUUGUACGAUGUCAUGUUCAUCAGUACAGAUCGAGGAGCCCUUCACAAAGCCAUCAGCUAUGAAAAUGGAAUGCACAUUAUUGAAGAAAUUCAACUGUUCCCUAAUUUUGAGCCUAUUCAGACUUUGUUGCUUUCUUCAAAAAAGGGCAAGCAAUAUCUCUAUGCUGGAUCCAAUGCAGGAGUUGUCCAGUCUUCUGUUGCGUUUUGUGAGAAGUAUAGCUCUUGUGUGGACUGUGUUCUGGCGAGAGAUCCAUACUGUGCUUGGAAUCCCCAGGCAUCCUCUUGUGUGGAUAUCUUCAAAGAAAGUGAGACUGAGAGGGACUGGAUUCAAAACAUUGGUGGAGAUGCCUCGUCUUGUACAGAUAAAGCCAGAGAGCAUUCUCUGCAGCAUACUUUCAAGCAUGGGAGCACUGCAGAGCUGAAAUGUUCUCAGAAGUCCAACCUGGCCCAAGUGGUUUGGAAAUUCAAGGAUGAUGUCUUAAAGGUGGAAAGUCCCAAGUACCGUCUUCUGGAGAAAGCUCUGCUCAUCUUCAAUUUGUCUGAGGGAGACAGUGGUGUGUAUCAGUGCCUGUCAGAAGAAGAAGUGAAGAAUCAGAAGUUUUCCCAGGUGUUAGCUAAACAUGUUUUGGAACUGAAAAAAAUUCAGCAGACCACUCUGAGCCCAACCCCGCCAACCACUCGGACUGAAGCUUCAUCUUCUGUAGUUUUUCCAUCCGCUGGUACCUCCUCUUUGUCCUGUGUUGGAAGCGAUCCACCUCCUUCACCCACCAGUCCUCAGCCUGAUGUUUGGUCUAGCACUGAUUUUGCCACAGUCAUGUUGAUGCCACCUUUCUUAAGGGACCAGGUCCAGCAUGUGAAUGCCCAUAGCACCUUCCUCCUCUUCUGUCAAGCCACAGGACCUAGAGAUGCACAUUUUGUUUGGAAAAAGAAUGGGCGGAUAUUAGAAGCUUGUAUAAACGAGCAGAGCCAUGUAUUAGCUGAUGGACGGCUACAUCUUCUAAGCUGGGUCAAAGAUACUAUAGUGCAAGAUUCAGAAUACUGUUGCCUAGUGGUCUCAAAAUCUGGAAAUAAAACCUCUACAUCUUACAUCACUGUUGAAGGUAAUAAUGCAAUGCUGGGCAGUGAUCUCCCGUCCCCCAAAUGUAGAAUUGGAAUCCCACAUAAAGAAACCAUCAUUUGUUGGCAUAGCUGUAAUUUUAUCACAUAUAACAAGGGGGGUUGUUGGGAAGGUACAGAUGACUAAUAGUAAAAAUGCUGAUUGUUGCUGACAUGAACACAUCCAUAGCCAUGCAAAAACUUAUCAGCUGCAGUUAAAAUAGGACAAAUAGGUGCUGAGUUGAGCAAAAACUGGCAAACUGAAAUUGAAGAUUAAGCACCGGAAAGUUCCAAUCAUACAAUUUCAGUGCAUGUUUCAGAUGUUAGCAAUCAAAAAUAUUGUGCAUAUGAAUAUUAAUUAGAGAAAUAUUUUUGGGCUACAAUUUCCAGAGUACUUGCCAUUUUUUCAGUGCUCAGGUUCUAAUGUCCACACUACCAUUCAUUUUUUUCUGUGUAAUUCUAACUCAUCUCCAAAAGAUUGAAAAGUACUGCAAGGAGAUAUUGCAUCUGUGUGUGUGCAUGUAGCAAAUUUCUGAAUUAAACAUAUUCUUAAUUUUUCCCAUACUGUUUGCUAUUGAAUUUUAAGUUAAGCACCAAAAGAGGUCAGAAAAGAGUCCAUUGUUACUAUGAAAAAUGAUCUUUAAAGGAAUCAUAUUGAUUGAAUGUUCCACAAUUGAUAUUACUCUCAUUGCUUAAUCUGCCCAGGAAAUAAUUUUCAGGACAACUGGUCAAGAGAAUUUGCUAGCUGGAGAAGUGUUGUCACCAAACAUGAUAAAAUGAUGGAGACCUGGAAAAAAACAUGGGAAAGCUGCAACAAGAAAGUGACAGUAUGAGAAUGAAGACAUAGUGGCUAAAAUGCCCUGGGAAAUUUCUGAAAUGUAACCCUGCACAUACAAAAGGGAUUGCACUGUAGCUAUUGAGAAGCACUCAAAUCAGAGGACUUGGCUGAAGUUGGCAGCUGAACACACUCUCCACCAUGCUUUGAGAAUACUUAUUGCUUUAUCGGUUGCUUUGCCAACGGAACUGAACAAUGUAUUCAAACAUGUUGCUAUUAGCUACCUUUCACUUUUUACUAUUGGGAGGGAGGGAAGGAAAAUACAGCUAUUAUAAGGCUUGUAUUCUCGACUUACCUGAUGUUUAUAAAUGAUGCCAUGAACCUCAACUUCAGGCUUAGUCUCUUAAGAGAGAAACUGAUGAGUGCUUGGCCUGUGAUAGAGCUCAUGGAAUUAAUUAUAUUACUGUCUACAUUCAUUAAAAACUUCACUGAAUGGUUACUCCUAAGGAGUUCCAGAGAUCUGCAAGAAACCUACUUCUGUUCAUUUCUAUAAUAUUUCUUGACAUUAAUGGAGCUUUGUAUGUGUUGCUGUUUCCAAUAAAGAAGCUGAUUUGUCAAAAGAGGUUUCAGUUUGAAAUCUCAAGAGGGCUGGCCAACAAGCUUUCAUACUAAAACUGAAAUGACAUAGGGUUUGUGUGGAAGAGUGAAAGGAGGUAAAAAGAUGCAAACAAAAACAUGCAAAAAAAUUUACCCUUUAAACUAGUUUGGUUACACUCUCUACGGUCAUUGCAUAAAACUACUAGCAUGCUACACCUGUUUCAAAAGUAAUUUAGUUAUCUUCAUUUAAAUAGUUUCUUGAAGAAUUCUAUGGAUUAAUAGUUUUGCUAGUGUGUGUGUGUGUUCUGUUUUGAUAGAGUACAGCCAUACAGCUAAACAAAUUCAUCAACUGAUUAGUUGGGAAAACAAUUUGCUUUACUAUUUGAUUUUCAUGAUAGAAAGACAACUACCCUGUGUAGUGGAAUUGGGGUCAACAUCCACAGAGCUAUGUGUUGUCUAAGUUUUAGAGCAGAUGACAGACACCCUGGAUUCUCAUGGUUUUAACUCGUUCUGCCUGCUGUAAGAUAGUUUCAGCAAUAAAAAUACAAUAUUAUAUGAGUGGACCUA